rnacentral:tRNA from 1 species
UCGGAGGUCGUCUAAUGGUAGGACGCCAGGUUCUGGCCCUGGAAAUUUGGGUUCGAGUCCCUGCCUCCGAACCG